CGCUGGCGGCGCACAUUAAGACAUGCAAGUCGAACGGAAGUCGUUACCAAAUGAAUUGAAGAUUUAUCUGAUUGAAGUUUAGUACAAUGGCUUUAGUGGCGGACUGGUGAGUAACACGUAAGCAAUCUACCUAUUAGAGGGGAAUAACAAUGAGAAAUCAUUGCUAAUACCGCAUAAGCUUGUAGUACCGCAUGGUAUAGCAAGAAAAGGAGCAAUCCGCUGAGAGAUGGGCUCGCGUCUGAUUAGCUAGUUGGUAAGGUAACGGCUUACCAAGGCGACGAUCAGUAGCCGGACUGAGAGGUUGAACGGCCACAUUGGGACUGAGACACGGCCCAAACUCCUACGGGAGGCAGCAGUGGGGAAUAUUGGGCAAUGGGGGAAACCCUGACCCAGCAACGCCGCGUGAAGGAAGAAGGCUUUCGGGUUGUAAACUUCUUUUGUCGAGGAAGAGUAGAAGACUGUACUCGGCGAAUAAGCCACGGCUAACUACGUG
rnacentral:rRNA from 1 species